UAUAAAGCAAAUUAUAUAACUUAUCCCACAUGUGAACUAAGAACAUAAAGGAUGUGUGAGGAUCCAACAUUAAAGUUUAGAGUGAAAUAGAUCCGUGUUAAGUGAAGAAAUGUGUGCAUGUCAACUUAAUUCAAAGAAGCAUUGAUACAAACAGAAAUGGUGAAAUAAUAUGUAAAGAUAGCAAACAAGAAGAACAAAACCUGAACCCAGUCACAUGAACACCAAAACGAUCACAACAAUAAGAUUUGCUAACUUGGAAGAGGCACCAAAAGAUGUCUGCCUGUAGACCCCUGCCUUUGCCAAAUCAUCAGCCACACCAUUAGCUGAUCUUAAUCAUCAUUGAAAAGAAAAAUAUUUCUAUUAAGUAAUUGGGAU